rnacentral:rRNA from 1 species
AUUGAACGCUGGCGGUAUGCUUAACACAUGCAAGUCGAACGGCAGCACGGUCUGUAGUAAUACAGAUGGGUGGCGAGUGGCGGACGGGUGAGUAAUACGCAGGAAUCUGCCCUAUAGAGGGGGAUAACUCGAGGAAACUCGAGCUAAUACCGCAUAGUCUCUACGGAGUAAAGCUGGGGCAACCUGGCGCUAUAGGAGGAGCCUGCGUCUGAUUAGCUAGUUGGUGGGGUAAAGGCCUACCAAGGCGACGAUCAGUAGGUGGUCUGAGAGGAUGAUCACCCACACUGGGACUGAGACACGGCCCAGACUCCUACGGGAGGCAGCAGUGGGGAAUAUUGGACAAUGGGGGCAACCCUGAUCCAGCAAUACCGCGUGUGUGAAGAAGGCCUUAGGGUUGUAAAGCACUUUAGGCGGGGAAGAAGGUAUGUAUUUUAAGAGAUAACAUAUUUGACGGUACCCGCAGAAUAAGCACCGGCUAACUCUGUGCCAGCCGCCGCAGUAA